rnacentral:rRNA from 1 species
GAUAAACGCUGGCGGCGUGCCUUAUGCAUGCAAGUCGAACGGUCCUUCUUCGGAAGGGUAGUGGCGAACGGGUGAGUAACGCGUAAGUGACCUGCCGAGAAGUGGGGAAUAACUGGUCGAAAGAUCAGCUAAUACCGCAUGAGCUCCCUGGUGUAAAAGCUGGGGAGGAAAGCCGAAAGGCGCUUUUCGAGGGGCUUGCGUCCGAUUAGCUAGUUGGUGGGGUAAAGGCUCACCAAGGCGAUGAUCGGUAGCUGGUCUGAGAGGAUGCUCAGCCACACUGGGACUGCGACACGGCCCAGACUCCUACGGGAGGCAGCAGCAAGGAAUUUUGGGCAAUGGGGGAAACCCUGACCCAGCAACGCCGCGUGGACGAUGAAGGCUUUCGGGUCGUAAAGUCCUUUUGUGGGGGACGAUAAUGACGGUACCCCACGAACAAGCCCCGGCUAACUACGUGCCAGCAGCCGCCGUAA